ACGGCGAGUGAGCGGCAACAGCUCAAUUUGAAAUCUGGCGUCUUUGGCGUCCGAGUUGUAAUUUGCAGAGGGCGCUUUGGCAUUGGCAGCGGUCCAAGUUCCUUGGAACAGGACGUCACAGAGGGUGAGAAUCCCGUACGUGGUCGCUAGCCUUUACCGUGUAAAGCCCCUUCGACGAGUCGAGUUGUUUGGGAAUGCAGCUCUAAAUGGGAGGUAAAUUUCUUCUAAAGCUAAAUACUGGCCAGAGACCGAUAGCGCACAAGUAGAGUGAUCGAAAGAUGAAAAGCACUUUGGAAAGAGAGUUAAAAAGCACGUGAAAUUGUUGAAAGGGAAGCGCUUGCAGCCAGACUUGCCUGUAGUUGCUCAUCCGGGUUUCUACCCGGUGCACUCUUCUAUAGGCAGGCCAGCAUCAGUUUGGGCGGUUGGAUAAAGGUCUCUGUCAUGUACCUCUCUUCGGGGAGAACUUAUAGGGGAGACGACAUGCAACCAGCCUGGACUGAGGUCCGCGCAUCUGCUAGGAUGCUGGCGUAAUGGCUGUAAGCGG
rnacentral:rRNA from 1 species